rnacentral:rRNA from 1 species
UACGGAGGGAGCUAGCGUUGUUCGGAAAUACUGGGCGUAAAGCGCACGUAGGCGGCGCAGCAAGUCAGGGGUGAAAUCCCGGGGCUCAACCCCGGAACUGCCUCUGAAACUGCAGUGCUAGAAUCUUGGAGAGGCGAGUGGAAUUCCGAGUGUAGAGGUGAAAUUCGUAGAUAUUCGGAAGAACGCCAGUGGCGAAGGCGACUCGCUGGACAAGUAUUGACGCUGAGGUGCGAAAGCGUGGGGAGCAAACAGG